CCUACGGGGGCUGCAGUGGGGAAUAUUGGACAAUGGGCGAAAGCCUGAUCCAGCCAUGCCGCGUGUGUGAAGAAGGCCUUCGGGUUGUAAAGCACUUUCAGUGGGGAAGAAAGCCUUGGGGCUAAUACCCUCGAGGAAGGACAUCACCCACAGAAGAAGCACCGGCUAACUCCGUGCCAGCAGCCGCGGUAAUACGGAGGGUGCGAGCGUUAAUCGGAAUUACUGGGCGUAAAGCGCGCGUAGGCGGUCUGAUAAGCCGGUUGUGAAAGCCCCGGGCUCAACCUGGGAACGGCAUCCGGAACUGUCAGGCUAGAGUGCAGGAGAGGAAGGUAGAAUUCCCGGUGUAGCGGUGAAAUGCGUAGAGAUCGGGAGGAAUACCAGUGGCGAAGGCGGCCUUCUGGACUGACACUGACGCUGAGGUGCGAAAGCGUGGGUAGCAAACAGGAUUAGAUCCCCUUGUAGUC
rnacentral:rRNA from 1 species